UACAGAGGGGGCAAGCGUUGUUCGGAAUUACUGGGCGUAAAGGGCGCGUAGGCGGCCUGCUAAGUCGAACGUGAAAUCCCUGGGCUCAACCCAGGAACUGCGUCCGAUACUGGUUGGCUUGAAUCCGGGAGAGGGACGUGGAAUUCCAGGUGUAGCGGUGAAAUGCGUAGAGAUCCGGAAGAACACCAGUGGCGGAAGGCGGCCUGGCUGGGCAGUGGCUGACGCUGAGGCGGCGGACAGCGUGGGGAGCAAACAGG
rnacentral:rRNA from 1 species